GGCCAGAGAAUGUUCUAUGCUCUUCCUCUGCACUUUUGCAAGUGCUUUUCCCUCUUGAAAAAGCCCUUCUCGGGUCUUGUGUAGUGGCUCACACCUGUAAUCUCAGCACCUUGGGAGGCCGAGGGAGGCGGGGUGUGGGCCCGGGCAGACAGUAAGGGCUCAAUAACAGAAGGUCCCAUCUGGGCUGUGACCAAGUGGAGGUGUUUGUGAGCCCAUCCAGGCCCCUUUCCUCUCCGCCCUCUGCCAGGUGCUGUUUCCCUCCAAGCCCAGGUUCACCCAAGGUCAAGGUGGGGCCUGAGGAAGGGAGAAAUGGAGGUGGAUUGUAAUAAGAGUCAUGGCUG
rnacentral:lncRNA from 1 species